rnacentral:rRNA from 1 species
ACUCCUACGGGAGGCAGCAGUGGGGAAUAUUGCACAAUGGGGGAAACCCUGAUGCAGCCAUGCCGCGUGUGUGAAGAAGGCCUUCGGGUUGUAAAGCACUUUCAGUAGGGAGGAAGGUAGUGUAGUUAACACCUGCAUUAUUUGACGUUACCUACAGAAGAAGCACCGGCUAACUCCGUGCCAGCAGCCGCGGUAAUACGGAGGGUGCGAGCGUUAAUCGGAAUUACUGGGCGUAAAGCGCAUGCAGGCGGCCUGUUAAGUCAGAUGUGAAAGCCCGGGGCUUAACCUCGGAAUUGCAUUUGAAACUGGCAGACUAGAGUACUGUAGAGGGGGUAGAAUUUCAGGUGUAGCGGUGAAAUGCGUAGAGAUCUGAAGGAAUACCGGUGGCGAAGGCGGCCCCCUGGACAGAUACUGACACUCAGAUGCGAAAGCGUGGGGAGCAAACAGGAUUAGAUACCCUGGUAGGAUAGCG